CGUGGUCUUUGCACAGUCUACACCGAUGUCACCCUCCUGCUUCACACCCUUCUGUGUCACCACUGCUCUUGAGAUCAAGGGCACGCAGAUCCUUCCUGCGUGAGUGAACGAAGUAUGGCGAGUCUCUGGGGAUGACAGUGGCAACAGGGUGACGGUGGACGUGGUGGUGGUGACAGUUGACGGUGAUGCUGUUGGCGAGGAUGGACCACCUUCCUCCGCACGUGCUGGGUCAGUGGACACCUGAGCGGUCCCACUCGAGGGUGGAGCACCGUCGGGGCUGAUCCGUUCCCACGGCAGCAAGCCGAAGGGUCCACCCCGCGAUCGGAGCUGCCGGGGUUCCUGGCCUUCCCACAGGUGUCGGGAUUUCCUUUCCCUUUGAUCCGGCUGUACCCGUUCAGUAGUGCCCCUCCCGGGUUCAACUCGCUUUAGCUGGGAUGGACUUCUGUCCCUGGGGACCCGAGAACCCUAACCGGUACAGAGGGGGCGACGGGGGUGAGCUGAGACGGAGCCCACGCCGCCCCGCUCUCCGUGCCGGUUCCACCUCCUCUCUGGCUUCUGAACGUCCGUGGAACGUCCUCCAUCUCUGCUGGCACCUGGCUGAGCUCAUCCAUUCCAGGCCUUUACGUGCCAUUGCAUGUGCUGAGUGAUCUUGAUUCCUCACCGCGGGUCCUGACCUUUCUCCUGAACCGCAGCUCACGGCUGACUGUCAUGCGUGUCACACUCAGCAGGCCCCAGCUGACUUCUUGAUUUCCUCUGCACAGUUGUCCCGUCUCAGAGAGCGGACAGACGUCUCAGAGAUGACCCGGGCCUGUCCACAGCUCCUUCCCACUCCCUUCAGCAGAGGCCGCUGCCUCAGGGCCUGCGCGCUUGCUAACUUCCCUGCAGGGAACACUCGCCCCAGACCUUCCUCACCUUCCGGGAGAGGGGGCUUGUGAAGGCUGAGCCCAGGGCAGGGCAGAGGGCGCGGAGGGGAAGAGAGGGAGGAGUUCUGGGUGAUUCCCCGCACCCUGGGUGGGCAACCAGGUGGCCAGAGGGACCACCCCUGAGAAGGGGCCCGGGCUGGGGGUCAGACCUGGGGAGGAAGAUGCCAAGUCCGCGUCUGGCACGAGGAGUGGGCAGCAUCCGUGGGCCAUCCAGGAUGCCGCCCAGCAGAUCCCUGAGCUGCAGCCCAGGGCAGAAGUAAGAUGGAGAGGCAGUGCCGGGCUAUAGUCCUCGGUCUGGGCAGCACCCACCCUCCUGAACCAGCCGGGCCUGCUGGGAGGAGAUCCAGCAGCAAAAUUCGUGGCUGUACUAACGCGAACAGAGACGGUGCCACUGACCGGGCUCACGGAGAAACGCAGACGCACUCAGGGUGGAUGUUUCCGCAAGCCAGCCUCUCCCAGCCGGCCACUGGCAGCCAAUUGAUAAGCCUAAUUAAUAAUUAACUUUUUAAUUAAACAUCAAUUUAAAACAA